AGAGUUUGAUCAUGGCUCAGGACGAACGCUGGCGGCGCGCCUAACACAUGCAAGUCGAACGAGCGAGAGAGAGCUUGCUUUCUCGAGCGAGUGGCGAACGGGUGAGUAACGCGUGAGGAACCUGCCUCAAAGAGGGGGACAACAGUUGGAAACGACUGCUAAUACCGCAUAAGCCCACAGGUCGGCAUCGACCAGGGGGAAAAGAGCAAUCCGCUUUGAGAUGGCCUCGCGUCCGAUUAGCUAGUUGGUGAGGUAAUGGCCCACAAGGCAACGAUCGGUAGCCGGACUGAGGGGUUGAACGGCCACAUUGGGACUGAGACACGGCCCAGACUCCGUACGGGAGCA
rnacentral:rRNA from 1 species